GUCCACGCCGUAAACGGUGGGUACUAGGUGUGGGUUUCCUUCCUUGGGAUCCGUGCCGUAGCUAACGCAUUAAGUACCCCGCCUGGGGAGUACGGCCGCAAGGCUAAAACUCAAAGGAAUUGACGGGGGCCCGCACAAGCGGCGGAGCAUGUGGAUUAAUUCGAUGCAACGCGAAGAACCUUACCUGGGUUUGACAUGCACAGGACGCCGGCAGAGAUGUCGGUUCCCUUGUGGCCUGUGUGCAGGUGGUGCAUGGCUGUCGU
rnacentral:rRNA from 1 species